rnacentral:rRNA from 1 species
UAGGGAAUCUUCGGCAAUGGACGAAAGUCUGACCGAGCAACGCCGCGUGAGUGAAGAAGGUUUUCGGAUCGUAAAACUCUGUUGUUAGAGAAGAACAAGGACGUUAGUAACUGAACGUCCCCUGACGGUAUCUAACCAGAAAGCCACGGCUAACUACGUGCCAGCAGCCGCGGUAAUCCGUAGGUGGCAAGCGUUGUCCGGAUUUAUUGGGCGUAAAGCGAGCGCAGGUGGUUUCUUAAGUCAGAUGUGAAGGCCCCCGGCUCAACCGGGGAGGGUCAUUGGAAACUGGGAGACUUGAGUGCAGAAGAGGAGAGUGGAAUUCCAUGUGUAGCGGUGAAAUGCGUAGAUAUAUGGAGGAACACCAGUGGCGAAGGCGGCUCUCUGGUCUGUAACUGACGCUGAGGCUCGAAAGCGUGGGGAGCAAACAGG